UUAUAACUCUGUGAGUUUGAGAAUCUGAACAACAGCAAUCAUGAGCUUCUUCACCAUCUUCAUCUGGAUCUUCACCAGCUACUGUUUCACAGAAUCAGCAGCUGGAGUCACAGUCACUCAGACGCCUGCAGAGAAACCUGUUCAACCAGGAGACAAAGUUACCAUGUCCUGUAAAACCAGUCCUGAAGUUUACCAGGGUUGGGGUGUUCAGCCUUUACACUGGUACUUACAGAAACCUGGAGAAGCUCCUAAACUCCUGAUUUAUGAUGCAAACACUCUCCAGUCAGGAACUCCAUCUAGAUUCAGUGGCAGUGGAUCUAACAGUGAUUUCACUCUGACCAUCAGUGGAGUCCAGACUGAAGAUGCUGGACAUUAUUACUGUCAGAGUGUACACUACAUCAGUAGUAGCUGGGUGUUCACACAGUGAUAAAGCGUGGUACAAAAACCUGUGUCAGUCAGAGUCACAGUGACUGAACUGAUGCUGCAGCUGCUCAAACACUAUCACUCACUACUGACACACAGAGACCAAACACACAACUACACAUGAGCUCACAACUGAGUCAGGAGUCACAUCAGCUCUAUUAGACUGGGAUCUGUCCUGUGACAGAUGGGUUUGUCUCAGCUAUACUCAGAUUCAGAGAAAACUGAGAGAUAAACAAAUAUCAAAGCAAACAAUUAUAUUGCAAUAUCUUGUUUUGGUUUGUACAUUACAUUUUGCACAUUAAACUACAAACCAUUAAACUAGCAUUAACUUCUUAACUUCUUCAUCUCAAGCUGAUAAUUAAUUUCUUACUCAUAACUCAUUUCUGAUGAGCAGAAGUGAAACUGUUCCAGUUCAGAGCGUUUAACCGAUCAAACAGAGAAACUGUGAGUUUGAGCUGAAAUCAGAUUUGCAUUGACAGCUUUAGUGAUUCUGAUGAUCUCAGAAUAGAGCAGCUCCGUCUCCAGAGACCAUGUUCAAACCCCAAGAGCUUCAGUUCACAUUUACUGCUAAACACAGCUGUUCUCAACUAUUACAAUCCAUCAACAGCAGCUGAAACUUUAGUGAAGGAAGGACACACUGAUCAAUGAUGCAGUCGGACACAAAUGGAAGGCGUUCAGAAGCUUUAUUGAAUGAACAGCAAUGGCAGCACAUUGAAAGACUGCUUGAGUAUUGAGCUGUAAAUCAGGAGACUGCUGUGAAUCCUGCUGCUCUUCACUGGAGAAACAUCAGCACUCGGAGCUCUUGAGGAACGAGGUCUCCUGAGCAGCUCCGUCAUGUGUUACUCUGCAGACGAAGCGCUCGCCGGCUUCCCAGCGUGCUUUGCUGAGGCUCAGGACGCUGCUGCGGCUGUAGCGUCCGUCCCGCUCGCUCUCUGCGCUGGUCUGAACCCCCUCGGUGACCUCUGACCCGUCCAGCGUCCAGCUCACCUGCGCCCCCUGUGGAGAGUAAGAGCUGAGCAGACAGAGCAGUGCGGCUGAGUCUCCAGAGAUCUGCAGAGAAGAGGGAGGCAGCAGAGACACGGAGGGCUUCACGGAGGGACCAGCUGAAACACACACACACACAGAGAGAGAGAGACACACACACACACACACACACACACAGAGAGAGAGAGA